AUACAACUAAGCUUAGUGGAUUUAGGUUGCUUCAGGUACUCAUGUGUAAGUGCUUCGGGACCAUGAAAGGGAGUCAGCAGUUCAAAGAAAAGAAAUAAAAUAUUGAAUCGUUAAUGUAUAAAAGUAGGUUUCAGGCAAAUAAUUUUGGAUGUCAUGUCAGAUUAAUGGACAACUGGUCACUUUUAAUUAAUUCAAUAGAUUGGACCAUAUGGGGUUGAACGUAGAAGCAAAAAUAAUAUUUGUCUAUGCCAUUUAUUAUGUAAUGUUGGAUGUAGGCCACACAAGAAAAAUAAGGCCCAAAUUUGGCUCGGAUUAAAUGAAUAACAAACCCAGAAAAACCUAGGUUGCAAGCUUAAGCAAAGAAAUAACCCAAUAAUAAUUUUUGGGCUGUGAGGGACAGCAUCCCAGCAUCAGGCUGGCUACGGGCUGAAACAGAAGAGAAACCAACCCAGAUUGGACUGGGGGUAUUGGGAUGUUGCGUGCCCAUAUAUGUUGAUCCAAGGCAAGCUCAAAACUAGAAGCUCAAAAUCUGGAAAAUGAUUCCAAGCCCAAAUAGUGGGUUAGGGUUGCACGUGGGCUGAGCACCGAGAGGCCCAAGGCCUAGAUGGGUUGAUCCAAAAACAACCCAGCGAUGUUGGGAGUGUGCAAGUCGGAGAAAACGGUGGCACCACCACUGAUAGUGGUGGUCAUAGAUGGCGAGACAAGCUAGGGUUUUUCACGACGGAGGAGCUUCUCGACAUCGAUGGUAAUGGGAGUGUUCCAAAACUAGUGAGAUUCAAAAUGGGAUUUCACAAUUUCAUCAAGAUUCAACUGGAAUCUCGAGGUUUGAAG
rnacentral:lncRNA from 1 species